rnacentral:rRNA from 1 species
GAUGAACGCUGGCGGCGUGCCUAAUACAUGCAAGUCGAGCGAACGGACGAGAAGCUUGCUUCUCUGAUGUUAGCGGCGGACGGGUGAGUAACACGUGGAUAACCUACCUAUAAGACUGGGAUAACUUCGGGAAACCGGAGCUAAUACCGGAUAAUAUUUUGAACCGCAUGGUUCAAAAGUGAAAGACGGUCUUGCUGUCACUUAUAGAUGGAUCCGCGCUGCAUUAGCUAGUUGGUAAGGUAACGGCUUACCAAGGCAACGAUGCAUAGCCGACCUGAGAGGGUGAUCGGCCACACUGGAACUGAGACACGGUCCAGACUCCUACGGGAGGCAGCAGUGGGGAAUCUUGGGCAAUGGGCGAAAGCCUGACGGAGCCAUGCCGCGUGAGUGAUGAAGGUCUUCGGAUCGUAAAACUCUGUUAGUAGGGAAGAAGAUAUGUGUAAGUAACUGUGGCUAUCUUGACGUUACCAAAAGAGAAAGCCCCGGCUAACUUCGUG